CUAUGUCUGUCCAAGUUAAAUAUAUUUAUUAACUCUUAUGUCAAUUCAGCAUUCAUGUUCUUCAAAUUUUUCUUUUCUAUUUUGAGAAGAGUUUACAUAAUGUUGUCAAUUACAAUUAAAAUCUGCAUAUUGGUUCAUGUUGGAAAAUGUUCAAUAAUUACUAUUGGCUUGUAUUUUGAAGUUUUCAUUUCAGCAUAAAUUCAUGUACCUGUUUGGCUAGAUCACAAAUAAGCUUUUCUUUGAUGCUGCAAGUUUUGUUUGCUUAUAUGGAAUGUUACAUCAAUGAAAUAUGUAAAUCACACUGCCAUUUUUGUCUUAUUGAAUAUUUGGCAAGCAUCCUUUUUGUUUCAAAAAAAAAUUGAAUUAACAAUACAGUAAUCUUUAAGUCAUUUGUCCACAACUCAACAAGGGGAAUUGGCAAAGAACACAAUAUCAGUGAAUUCAUUCUCUCUCUCAAUAGCUUCCAUAAACAGGCUGUGAUUCAUAGUAAUUGCAUGCAUAUAUUGAAUGAUUUUAACAACUGCGUACAUUAUAUUUUUAAUAUAAUUGUCUCAAAAACUGGGCACAGACAUUUUUAAUAUAUAUUACAGAGUGGAAUGGAACAAUAAAGGAAACAUCAGUUUUAAUUCCAAUCAGUAUGGAAUUUUGACCUAACAUAGGUGGAGAACCAUACAUCACAUAGAAAUUAAUUUUUCCAUAAUCUAGCUGAAUUUUGUCUUUAACAAAAGAAAAAGUUUGAAAAAUAAGCUAUAAGGACUAUUUUUUACACCACUAAAUGACCUUUCUUUGUCAACUUCAAUGUCCUGUUAGGAAAAAUCCACCCCAAGUAUAGAUUGGACCACGUGUCUCAUAUAAUGCAUGACUUUCAGUCUAAAGAAAACUGUUUGCAAUUUUUCAAGUUUUGAAUAAGUGUGUUGUGCUUUUUUUUUUUUUUUUGACGUUUUUUACUUUUUCAGAGAGAGAAAGACAGAAUGUGAGCAUGGGAAGGGCAGAGAGAGAGGGAGACAUAGAAUCCAAAGCAGGCUCCAGGCUCUGAGCUGUCAGCACCGAGUCCAAUGCGGAGCUCCAACCCAGAAACACAAGAUCAUGACCUGAGCUGAAGUCUGACGCUCAAUCGACUAAACCACCCAGCGACUGAAGAUCAAAAGCACUCAAAACUAAGGCUGAACAACUAUUACUACUGCAAAUAUUGUAAAUGGACGGGGAAAAUCUAUCAACGGUUUUCUUUAUGAUGUAUCCUGUCUUUACUUAAGGGACAAAUGUCUCUUGUCAGAAAAGCUUUCUCAAACCACCCUAUCAAGAACAGGGGUCAGCAAACGAUGCACCAGGGGCCAAAUCUGAUCUGCUACACGUUUUAAUAAAGUUUUAUUGGAACACAGAUGAA